rnacentral:rRNA from 1 species
GCAGUGAAGUGAUUUGUCUGGUUAAUUCCGUUAACGAACGAGACCUUAACCUGCUAACUAGUCCGAGCUAACUCAUUUGGCCGUGACUUCUUAGAGGGACUAUGAGGACCAAACUCAUGGAAGUUUAAGGCAACAACA